UCCUCCUUAUUAAAAUGGUGCAGUUUUAAUCUCCCAAACAUUUUCCGUCAAGUUACACGUUUAGCUCCAUUUGUCCAUUCAUUAAGAUGGUAAAUAUUAAUCAUUGAGGUCACCAAAUGAAUAAAUUUUAAGUAGUAGGAAUCCUACCGCAGGAUUCAUGGUAUUCACAAUUAAUAUUCACCUCAUAUAUUAGUUCAAUUUAUUAAUUAAUAAAA
rnacentral:lncRNA from 1 species